rnacentral:ncRNA from 1 species
CAAUGUGCCAAGAGGGAAAACAACCCUCAAGGCACUAAAGUAUAUCAAAGUUUAAAAUUUCUGGAGAUAAAUCCUUUGCAGACGACUUAAAUAAAGAACGGGGUAUUGUACGUUGUAGAGUAGCCUUGUUGCUACGAUCUUCUGAGGUUAAGCCUUUGUUCUACGAUUUGU